GACGAACGCUGGCGGCGUGCUUAACACAUGCAAGUCGAACGGUAAGGCCCUUCGGGGUACACGAGUGGCGAACGGGUGAGUAACACGUGGGUGAUCUGCCCUGCACUUCGGGAUAAGCCUGGGAAACUGGGUCUAAUACCGGAUAGGACUCCGGACUGCAUGGUCUGGGGUGGAAAGCUUUUGCGGUGUGGGAUGGGCCCGCGGCCUAUCAGCUUGUUGGUGGGGUGAUGGCCUACCAAGGCGACGAAGGGUAGCCGGCCUGAGAGGGUGACCGGCCACACUGGGACUGAGAUACGGCCCAGACUCCUACGGGAGGCAGCAGUGGGGACUAUUGCACAAUGGGCGCAAGCCUGAUGCAGCGACGCCGCGUGAGGGAUGACGGCCUUCGGGUUGUAAACCUCUUUCAGCAUCGACGAAGCGAAAGUGACGGUAGGUGCAGAAGAAGGACCGGCCAACUACGUGCCAGCCGCCGCUGUAA
rnacentral:rRNA from 1 species